GACGAACGCUGGCGGCGUGCUUAACACAUGCAAGUCGAACGGAAAGGCCCUGCUUUUGUGGGGUGCUCGAGUGGCGAACGGGUGAGUAACACGUGAGUAACCUGCCCUUGACUUUGGGAUAACUUCAGGAAACUGGGGCUAAUACCGGAUAGGAGCUCCUGCUGCAUGGUGGGGGUUGGAAAGUUUCGGCGGUUGGGGAUGGACUCGCGGCUUAUCAGCUUGUUUGUGGGGUAGUGGCUUACCACGGUUUUGACGGGUAGCCGGCCUGAGAGGGUGAACGGCCACAUUGGGACUGCGAUACGGCGCAGACUCCUACGGGAGGCAGCAGUGGGGAAUAUUGCACAAUGGGCGGAAGCCUGAUGCAGCAACGCCGCGUGCGGGAUGACGGCCUUCGGGUUGUAAACCGCUUUCGCCUGUGACGAAGCGUGAGUGACGGUAAUGGGUAAAGAAGCACCGGCUAACUACGUG
rnacentral:rRNA from 1 species